GGAAUCUUCCACAAUGGACGCAAGUCUGAUGGAGCAACGCCGCGUGAGUGAAGAAGGUUUUCGGACCGUAAAGCUCUGUUGUUGGUGAAGAAGGAUAGAGGUAGUAACUGGCCUUUAUUUGACGGUAAUCAACCGGAAAGUCACGGCUAACUACAUGCCAGCAGCCGCGGUAAUACGUAGGUGGCAAGCGUUGUCCGGAUUUAUUGGGCGUAAAGCGAGCGCAGGCGGAAGAAUAAGUCUGAUGUGAAAGCCCUCGGCCUAACCGAGGAAUUGCAUCGGAAACUGUUUUCUUGAGUGCAGAAAGAGGAGAGUAGAACUCCAUGUGUAGCGGUGGAAUGCGUAGAUAUAUGGAAGAAUACCAGUGGCGAAGGCGGCUCUCUGGUCUGCAACUGACGCUGAGGCUCGAAAGCAUGGGUAGCGAACAGGAUUAGAUACCCUGGUAGUCCAUGCCGUAAACGAUGAGUGCUAAGUGUUGGGAGGCUUCCGCCUCUCAGUGCUGCAGCUAACGCAUUAAGCACUCCGCCUGGGGGAGUACGACC
rnacentral:rRNA from 1 species